GAUGAACGCUGGCGGCGUGCCUAAUACAUGCAAGUCGAGCGAACAGACGAGGAGCUUGCUCCUCUGACGUUAGCGGCGGACGGGUGAGUAACACGUGGAUAACCUACCUAUAAGACUGGGAUAACUUCGGGAAACCGGAUCUAAUACCGGAUAAUAUAUUGAACCGCAUGGUUCAAUAGUGAAAGACGGAUUUGCUGUCACUUAUAGAUGGAUCCGCGCCGCAUUAGCUAGUUGGUAAGGUAACGGCUUACCAAGGCAACGAUGCGUAGCCGACCUGAGAGGGUGAUCGGCCACACUGGAACUGAGACACGGUCCAGACUCCUACGGGAGGCAGCAGUAGGGAAUCUUCCGCAAUGGGCGAAAGCCUGACGGAGCAACGCCGCGUGAGUGAUGAAGGUCUUCGGAUCGUAAAACUCUGUUAUUAGGGAAGAACAAAUGUGUAAGUAACUAUGCACGUCUUGACGGUACCUAAUCAGAAAGCCACGGCUAACUACGUG
rnacentral:rRNA from 1 species